UACGUAGGGGGCAAGCGUUGUCCGGAAUCAUUGGGCGUAAAGCGCGUGUAGGCGGCCACGUUAGUCCGCUCUGAAAGCCCGGGGCUCAACCCCGGGAGGCGGGUGGAUACUGCGUGGCUCGAGUCCGGAAGAGGCGAGUGGAAUUCCUGGUGUAGCGGUGAAAUGCGCAGAUAUCAGGAGGAACACCAAUGGUGAAGGCAGCUCGCGGGGACGUGACUGACGAUGAGACGCGAAAGCGUGGGGAGCAAACAGG
rnacentral:rRNA from 1 species